CACGACCUGUGUGAGAGCACAGGGUAUCUGGGCAGAAGGAAAACUAGGGGAGCCUCAUCCAGCGCUGGAGAUGGAGAAGCUUUGGGCUUCUCGACGGCGAGGCACCCGGGGAACGGGGAGUCACUUAGAACCUCAAAGUAGCCUCGGGCGAGAACAAGCGAAGCAAUUCCAAGCUCUACCAGGUCACGGAGGGCGCGAAACCCGCCCCGCGCUCCGGCCGGCCGGCAGGGGGCGCGCGCUCCCCGAACUCCCGCGCACCGCGGAGGAGGCGGCCCUGGCGCGGGGAAGCAGUGGGAAAAUCGCAAGGAAGCCGGCGCUGCUCUGAAGGGAGAGUCUGUGCAGUGGCACCUGCGCGAAGCUGGCCAAAGCCUGCCCAGACGGCUCACCUGUGCGGGAUGGAACAAAAGGUCGGCUUGAGGUUUGCGAGUCCCAGCUCCCACUGCCCCUGCCACCUGCCUUUCCCUUCUCAGGACAUACACAGGACUGGGAGAAAAUAGACUAAGUAUUUGAUAUUA
rnacentral:lncRNA from 1 species